AUGACAGAACGGGACUUUGAUGAAGGCCCUUGACCUCUCCCUUCAGUAUCUCCUGGAGAUGCAUUUCAAAGGCCAAACAGCAUAUUCAAGAAAUAUUCACAGAAGCCUCAAUUCUAAGGUGGUGGUCUUACUGCAGGAAUAACAUUCUUUACCUUCAGUCUUUAUCUUGUAUGUGAACUCAGGUGGCCCAUUUUCAUCCCCAGUGCCACAGCACUUUAUAGAAGGCCUACCAAAUGCAGAAAAUGAGACGCUGAAAUCACGUUUCAAGUGGAGUGAAUCUGUUCCUUUAAGACUAUCAUAUGAUUUAUGGAAUUAGAGUAUAUGAAGCAAAGAGAAACACAGAGCAAAUGGGUAUUUCCUCUUCAAGAGACGAGAAAAGAAAAGAUGCAAACCCCUCCCUACCCAUCCAAUCUCAACUUCUUUUCAAAAAUCAAACAAGCCGGGCGGUGGUGGCGCACGCCUUUAAUCCCAGCACUCGGGAGGCAGAGGCAGGCGGAUCUCUGUGAGUUCGAGACCAGCCUGGUCUACAAGAGCUAGCUCCAGGACAGGCUCUAAAGCUGCAGAGAAACCCUGUCUCAAAAAAAAAAAAAAUCAAACAAGAACUCAAUACAACAAAAUCUUGGAAACAAACUACAACAUCGCCCAAAAAAAGAAACAAAAAAGAAAGAAAAUACCAUCAAAAAAAUAAAAACACAACAAAAUUUUACUAAAUAAAAACACACAAAAAAAGAUGGAGUCCAUUAUUUGUUGGUCAACUUCUCCUGAACAUAAGGCCUGCCCUGGAAUGGUUGUUAUACCCGGUGUAACUCUGUUGUAAACAGAGACUAAGGUAGUAAGCACAGGACUUGCUUGGGUCUGCUUUAGGUCCUCUGUGUUUAUAUUGUGGCUUCCAGUUUAGUGUUUUUAUGAUAUUUUUGAGAAAAUGAAAAAAUGGGUCUCUGACUCUUGUAUCUUAUUUUGUCUUCUUUUCCUUUUGUUAUGUCCUGUCAAAUUUUCAAGUGAUAAUUUUUGCUUUAUCUUAAAUUUUAUUUUGCUAAUUUUUUUUUCAAAAAUGAACGAGUGAAAACCUAGUGACUAGAAGAAAAGUUAAGAACUCAGCUGUAAUUUUUAUCUUACAGAGAGGAAAAUCUAACUUCUAUUCAUGAAAAAGUAUUGAAAAAUAAUGUCGCUGUCCUUUGACAAAGUUUGGCCUUGUUGUAUGUCUUCAGAUUACCUAUGUCCAUAACAGUCAUUGAUGUCUAUAUCUAAUUUUUUUAUUCACAAACAAAUACAUGUAAAGUUUGUGGUGAGAUUCUCUACAUGUGGUACAUAUCCAUUGUCAUUAAGUACAUAGUUAAAUUUUUAAAAGUUAUUUCAUUUUUCAGGAUAUUAUUAGGUAUUUUUUAACAUAAAAAGUAUUUUCUUUAAUAUUCUGAGCAGGUAGAAAAAAUUUGGUAGACAUGGAUUUAUAGCAGCAAGAAAGUAUCAUCAUGUAUAAAGCAGGCAUUUUUUAUAAUCCACACUCUCUUUUAUGCUAGAGAUGUUUCAUAUAAUAAUUGCUUUUUACUAUAGACAGCUGAAUCACAAAUGCAUUUAUGCAUUUUGAGGUUUGAUUUGAACUAUUUUUCAGAUUUGAAAUUAUGAGAGAGAAAGCAUCAUUACCUGUUAAGAUAUUCAUUUGAAUAUCUUAUGGUUCUGUUUUUGAUAAAUCAGCAGUUUUACAUGUAUACUAAAUAUAUGUCACUUUUGCUAAAGAGCCACUCUUUCCAAAAAUGUCUUUUCACUAGAGACAUUUCUUUAUUAUUCAUAUGUUUCGCUCACACACAAGAUGUUUCCAAAUGUUCUGAACCUUCCUUUGUCACUGUUUAUUUCUCAAAGCCUACUGCCUGCCAUAGCAAUGUAUUAUUCAACUAGGGGGUUGUCUUCUAAGUACCACUCAUUUAUAUUCUUGGAGUCUCCUUAAUUUUCCCCAGUUUUGUUAAUCUUGUCAUCAGAAUAUGAAAAGCCAAUGUAACAUCCAAACAACUUUCUUUUCAGAAAAUAAAACUUGCAACUUAAAUUCACUGAAAUUUUGAUUAUUCAAAGUGUGAAAAUUAAGAAUAUCCUUUGUAUUCUAAGCAAAUCAAUUCCUCUGUAGUUAGGAUAAGUUAGUUCUUUCUCUGUGAUUUUAUAUCUCUGUCUUUUCUUAAGUUUUAAAAUGUUUUUGUUUCUAAGCAUUUAUAUUAUUGCUUGGCAGUUCUCCAUUAAGAAAUAUUUCUUUGGUUUAAUAUUUUGAUAAGUCCAAUAAUCCUUUAAAAAUUGAGAUUUGUUUUCCUUUAAGUAUUGAUUAAUUAUGUAGCAUGAAAUCUGUAUCAUUUGAUGUGUAUUUUUUCUGUUUCUUUCUCUAAAAGUUUUCCAUGUAGUGUCUAAAACUUAGUGCCAAAGACCAAAAAAGGGGGCCAAAGAAAUUCUAUACUGUGAUAGAGCUAGAAAAAUUGUGCAGUGGGAAGACAAUGUCUGAGUAGUAAUGGGUGGUUCUUAAAACUAGUGGUUUUUCUUCAUGGCAGAAUUUCAAGAUCUCAUCAAGACACCCGAGGUGGUAAAAAAUGAAGGCACUUUACUAUUCAUCUGAAAUUUUUAAGAGUCUCCUUUACAGAAAUACUGUGGGAAAGGUAUGGGUUCAAGAUGUAGAAUCAAAGAAAAAUUAAGGAGAAAUAAAUCAACUCUGGACAAAGAUAUCAAGUAUAGAAAAAAUAUAAAAAAUAUUAAAAACAGCAUACUUACUACCCAUGACAAUUUUAAUUGAAGCUGAUUUGAAUAAAUAAGAGAAAAUGUCAACAACAAAGCCAGAUAGAAAAUUGCAGUGGCUAAAGAAAUCUUCUGAAUAAAUUAGAAAACUCUCUUUUGAGUAACAUAGCAAGACAUUUAAACUACCAGAAUUAUUCUUACAA